AGUAAAAUUUGACCAAAAAUCUCCCUAAUUUUCCUCCAACUUUUUAUUUAAUAUAUAUUUUUUGUUUUUAAUCCCUAAUUUCUUUCUCCACUUCCAUGCAAAAAAAAAAAUAAUUCUCUCUUCAACCCACAAGUUCUCCCUCAACCCUCUCCUUGUCAUCGACCGACGACAUUUCGGCCAACAACCGACUGCAACCGACAGAAACCCACGACAAGAGCAUUUCAGCAACCCACAUUUGGGCGACCCAUGUUUCAGCGACGAGAGGUUGAUUAUCUGAGGAAUCCGAGAGUAGUUCAUGAGGAGAAUGGAAUGAAAUUGAAGUGGCCAUGGGGUGGAACUGGAUCCUCUGAAAUGGAAUGCCUUACACUCACACUCAACAAUGAAAGGAUAAGGAAGCAUUUCGCCAGCUUGGAAGCCAUGGCUUCUGUCUCUCUCUUCUCUCUUGCACUCUCUCAUUUAUUUACUUCUCCAUAAUUCAAUUUCUUUUUUUUAAAUAACUAUAAAAAUUAUAAUUUUUAUGAUUUAGUGAUUUUAAUCAUUAACGUAAAUUGUGCAGUCAUUUUUGGUAUAAUUAUUAUGGAGCAACAUCUUUAAAAAAAAUGGAAGUUAUAAACAUUACUCUUACUUAUGGUUUUGAUCUCUGUUUGUUAUUACUUCUCACUCUCCAUUUCUUCAAGAGGAUCUUUGAGGUACUCUCUCUUUAAGCCUUUGUUUGAGUUCUGAAAUUUCAAAUCUGAUUAUGGAAUUAGGAAUUACAUUAUGGAAUUACACAACUUCUCUCUUGAUUAUUUUUGUUUGUUUGGUGUGUAUCGCUGAACUAAGAAAUAAGAGCAAGUUGAAAUCAUAGUUUUGAUUGAAAUAUUUGGAUUGUAAUUUGGUACAAAUAACCAUUAAGUUUAUGAUAUUUGACUGAUUUUGGAUUGUUUGAGUUGAUUUGACUCAUAUUCUAUUGUUUAUUUUUCUGAAAGAUAUUGCUCGAGUCCAAACGUAUAUUCAGUGAACUCCAUGCAAAAACCUUUUGUUGUGGAGCUUGAUCUUCGAGAUAUUGUUUGUAGAAUGAUUGAAGUCAUAUCGAGUUGAAAGCUAAACGAUUGUGUAGAUAACCAAGCGGUCGUUGAAGGUUGAAGAUCAGAUUGAGAAAGCUUUAGGAUUUUCUUAUCUAAGUCUUGUAUUAAGAUCUUCUUUCAUGUAAUUGUUGUAGAAUGUAUAUAUAAACACAAUAUUAAGAUUUCAUUAUAUAAUAUACAUACAUACGUAAAAGAGAAA